UACGAAGGGGGCUAGCGUUGUUCGGAUUUACUGGGCGUAAAGCGCACGUAGGCGGAUCGAUAAGUCAGGGGUGAAAUCCCAGAGCUCAACUCUGGAACUGCCUUUGAUACUGUCGAUCUGGAGUAUGGAAGAGGUGAGUGGAAUUCCGAGUGUAGAGGUGAAAUUCGUAGAUAUUCGGAGGAACACCAGUGGCGAAGGCGGCUCACUGGUCCAUUACUGACGCUGAGGUGCGAAAGCGUGGGGAGCAAACAGG
rnacentral:rRNA from 1 species